GAAGUCCUGUUGAUUUUAUAAUAUGUAUAAACUCAAGUUAACCUUCAAAUAUGGUUUUAUAUUUGCAAUAAUUUUUUAAAAAUCUUAACGUAUGUAUUACGUAAAGUUAUCUAUAUUAAAUAAAGUACGUUUGCGAGUGCAGCAUGAUACGAUAUUAUUAAAGUAAAAAUCAUGAAUUAUUCCAAUGUAUAAUACUAUAGUUCUGAAAUUGUUUCGUAUUACCAAGGCAUCGAUAAAACGAGAUUUUGUACAUCAAUCGAUUAUAUUUCGAUCUAUUUUAUAUUCUUAUUUCAAUAGAUACAAUUUUAAUGGUAACAUUAAAUAUUUUGCAAAUAUGUCCAUAAAAUGUUUUCAAGGUCACAAUGACAAUUAUAAUGGUGUAACUAUACAUUCCAUCGAAGAACCUUGUCUGAUUACAGUAUUUCCUCAAUAUUUACAAGAUUCCUUAAAAAUUUGGUCAGAACAAAAGAAACGGACAAUUUGGUUUCGCGUACACUUGUCACACUCUGAAUGGAUACCGAUUUUAGUACAAAAUGGUUUUAAAUUUCAUCAUGCACGAGAAGAAUAUGUUAUGCUAUAUUACUGGUUAAACAAAGAAACAGUCUGUAAUAUUCCACCUUAUGCUCAUACAAAUUUGGGAGUAGGAGCAUUUGUUUUUAAUGAAAAAACUUCAGAGAUAUUAGUUGUAAAGGAAAAAAAUGUCAAAGGCCGUCUGUUUUGGAAACUACCAGGUGGUUAUAUUGAACCAGGAGAAAAUAUAGACGAAGCUGCACAAAGGGAAGUGUUAGAAGAGACAGGUAUUCAAACAAUGUUCAAAUGUCUUGUAGCAUUUAGACAUUCACAUAAUGCUGCCUUUGAUUGUUCAGAUAUAUACAUGAUAGCUUAUUUAACACCUCGUACUUUUGAUAUUACGAAGUGUCAAGUAGAGAUUUCUGAAUGUAAAUGGAUAAAGAAAUGAAAAACUUAACAUAGGAACAAAAAUGAAUGCUAUAUAAUUAUUAUGUUAUGAUUAUAUGCAUAUAAUCAUAUGCUAACUCUUGCAACAGAGUGAACUAUCUGUGAUAUAAAUGAAAAUAUUAUAAGCAGUAAUGACUCAAAUCUAAUCAAUAUAUUACCGUACGCCCAAAAACGAUCUACCAUAAAGAUUGUUAGGAGGCAUCAAGAUGCAUCAUUUACAAAAAAUACAAAGUUCAGAAGUUUUAGAAGUUCAAGUAAAUUUUAUGUUUCUCUCAAUGAAUAUUUACAUCAUCCAGAAGUACAUGAAAAUAA